rnacentral:rRNA from 1 species
UCUAGCUACAGGCUUAACACAUGCAAGUCGAGGGGCAGCAUGGUCUUAGCUUGCUAAGGCCGAUGGCGACCGGCGCACGGGUGAGUAACACGUAUCCAACCUGCCGUCUACUCUUGGACAGCCUUCUGAAAGGAAGAUUAAUACAAGAUGGCAUCAUGAGUCCGCAUGUUCACAUGAUUAAAGGUAUUCCGGUAGACGAUGGGGAUGCGUUCCAUUAGAUAGUAGGCGGGGUAACGGCCCACCUAGUCUUCGAUGGAUAGGGGUUCUGAGAGGAAGGUCCCCCACAUUGGAACUGAGACACGGUCCAAACUCCUACGGGAGGCAGCAGUGAGGAAUAUUGGUCAAUGGGCGAGAGCCUGAACCAGCCAAGUAGCGUGAAGGAUGACUGCCCUAUGGGUUGUAAACUUCUUUUAUAAAGGAAUAAAGUCGGGUAUGGAUACCCGUUUGCAUGUACUUUAUGAAUAAGGAUCGGCUAACUCCGUGCCAGCAGCCGCGGUAAUACGGAGGAUCCGAGCGUUAUCCGGAUUUAUUGGGUUUAAAGGGAGCGUAGAUGGAUGUUUAAGUCAGUUGUGAAAGUUUGCGGCUCAACCGUAAAAUUGCAGUUGAUACUGGAUAUCUUGAGUGCAGUUGAGGCAGGCGGAAUUCGUGGUGUAGCGGUGAAAUGCUUAGAUAUCACGAAGAACUCCGAUUGCGAAGGCAGCCUGCUAAGCUGCAACUGACAUUGAGGCUCGAAAGUGUGGGUAUCAAACAGGAUUAGAUACCCUGGUAGUCCACACGGUAAACGAUGAAUACUCGCUGUUUGCGAUAUACUGCAAGCGGCCAAGCGAAAGCGUUAAGUAUUCCACCUGGGGAGUACGCCGGCAACGGUGAAACUCAAAGGAAUUGACGGGGGCCCGCACAAGCGGAGGAACAUGUGGUUUAAUUCGAUGAUACGCGAGGAACCUUACCCGGGCUUAAAUUGCAGAUGAAUUACGGUGAAAGCCGUAAGCCGCAAGGCAUCUGUGAAGGUGCUGCAUGGUUGUCGUCAGCUCGUGCCGUGAGGUGUCGGCUUAAGUGCCAUAACGAGCGCAACCCUUGUUGUCAGUUACUAACAGGUUCCGCUGAGGACUCUGACAAGACUGCCAUCGUAAGAUGUGAGGAAGGUGGGGAUGACGUCAAAUCAGCACGGCCCUUACGUCCGGGGCUACACACGUGUUACAAUGGGGGGUACAGAGGGCCGCUACCACGCGAGUGGAUGCCAAUCCCCAAAACCUCUCUCAGUUCGGACUGGAGUCUGCAACCCGACUCCACGAAGCUGGAUUCGCUAGUAAUCGCGCAUCAGCCACGGCGCGGUGAAUACGUUCCCGGGCCUUGUACACACCGCCCGUCAAGCCAUGGGAGCCGGGGGUACCUGAAGUGCGUAACCGCGAGGAGCGCCCUAGGGUAAAACUGGUGACUGG